GCGUCACAUACUUGCAGCGCGUACUUUUCGCUGAUUAUGAGAGCCAUGUAGUUUUUCGUUGCGUCGCUGUUAGCAACAAAUGCAGUAUUAAAUCUAAUAAUCCAAAAAGAAGACUUUACGGAUGUAAGAUGUUUUUGCUUGUUAUUUUUUUCUAAAAAGUCUAUUUUAUCUUGUUAUUAUAUAUUAUCAGCUACUCAAAUAGUCUGUCAGCGCUUGUAGGGAUGUGGAAAUUGGCAUAUUUCACAACGAAAGCGUGAAAAUGUUUCAUCUGAAAAAUGGGCAUAUCAAAAAGCAGAAUGAAAAAAGUCGCACCUGUGUCAGUGACAGAGGAAACCGUCUGUAGCAGCGGCGUUCACCGGGAUGAAAGUCAGUUGUUUGGUCCCUCAAACACCAGAGCUUCAGAUCUGCGUGUGUCCUUCAGAAGAAGAGCCCAGGCAGACUGUAACAGUGAGGGGCAGGACUCUGAGUUUUCAGCCGACGAUCUCGCUGAGAAAGUGGACAGAAUCCUCGCUGAGUGUGACAACACUGAUAUAUCACUCAGCAGGACUUCUUAUAAGAUGCCAAUGUUUGGUUCGAAGUCUUUGGGGCUUUACUACUACGCCAAAGGCCAAGACUGCAACAGCGUUUACAGUAGCAGCACACGUGACAACAAUGAAAUGAACACAGUGAACAUAUCAACUUCCAUUCAUGAAAAGGUCAGGCCUCCACAGGACCUGCUAAACUGUGCCAGCAUAGAGAGCACAGCAACAGCUUCAGUUUCUGGAAUUGGUAGUGGUUCAUCUGUGGCCUUGCCUAUCAUGUAUGAUGCUUCAGAAGAGGACCUCAUGAACACAAUCGAGAGGGAGUUCGGUUAA
ensembl:lncRNA